rnacentral:rRNA from 1 species
UACGGAGGGUGCAAGCGUUAUCCGGAUUCACUGGGUUUAAAGGGUGCGUAGGCGGGCAGAUAAGUCAGUGGGGAAAUACCUGAGCUUAACUUGGGAACUGCCAUUGAUACUAUUUGUCUUGAAUGUUGUGGAGGUUAGCGGAAUAUGUCAUGUAGCGGUGAAAUGCUUAGAGAUGACAUAGAACACCUAUUGCGAAGGCAGCUAACUACGCAAAUAUUGACGCUGAGGCACGAAAGCGUGGGGAUCAAACAGG